rnacentral:lncRNA from 1 species
CUUAUUUCUUAAGUUUACAUCCCCACAGAUCUCUCUUUCUUAUAUAAAAGUAUAAGUAACAGCUCUGACCAACCAUCUUCUGCCCUUGCCAUAAGGGUUCGCUCCUCCAUGGGCCCCUCCGCUUGGGGGAGGACGCACCCAUGGAGUGAGGACGUUAGGCCAUAAUAACGGAGGGUGCAGGAAGGACUGCAGGAGGAUGGAUCCACGGAUCCCAAAACCCAAGACCUCUGAGUGACACGCUCUGGUGCAUGGCGGUUGGCAUGCUUCUCCCUCAAAACCGUCUCCUCCAAAAACAUGCCAAGGC